CAAACUUGAGAGUUUGAUCCUGGCUCAGAACGAACGCUGGCGGCAUGCCUAACACAUGCAAGUCGAACGAAGUCUUCGGACUUAGUGGCGCACGGGUGCGUAACGCGUGGGAAUCUGCCCUUGGGUACGGAAUAACUCAGAGAAAUUUGUGCUAAUACCGUAUAAUGACUUCGGUCCAAAGAUUUAUCGCCCAAGGAUGAGCCCGCGUAAGAUUAGCUAGUUGGUGGGGUAAAAGCCUACCAAGGCGACGAUCUUUAGCUGGUCUGAGAGGAUGAUCAGCCACACUGGGACUGAGACACGGCCCAGACUCCUACGGGAGGCAGCAGUGGGGAAUAUUGGACAAUGGGCGAAAG
rnacentral:rRNA from 1 species